GCUCCGUUUCCGGUUGGAGUCUUUAAAAACGAGCCGAUUAAUAUCUUGGGAGAAGUUUACCCUUCUGUAAUGCCGUCAGCCUUUGAGGGAUUUUUUAUUUACCCACCUCCCAGUUUAUGUAAAUUGUGUGCUGUCGUACCAAUUCCUCUAGCCGUCAUGUAGCGUUAGAAUAUCCCAUCAGAUAUAUGCAUAGAGGGAGACUAGCUGAAAACACGUAAAAGAAAAUACCCUUCUGUGAGUGUGAUCACGUUCUUGGGUAGAAAUCCCAACUGAGCCUUGUGCGGACAUGAUGAAAGACUGCUUCCUGGCCUUGGUGUCUCGGCUCUGUUCAUGAAGCCCGCUCAGCACAGGAACUGUGGUGUAGGUGAAGCCUCCUCCUCUGGCACCGACAUCCUCUAUGGGCACUGGUUUGAGUCCCAGCUGCUCUACUUCUGAUCCAGCUCCCUGCUAAUGCACCCGGGAAAACAGCAGAAGAUGGCCUGAUUGGGAAAACAGCAGAAGAUGGCCUGAGUUUUUGGGCCCUUGCACCCAUGUGGGAGUCCUGGAAGAUGCUUCUGGCUCCUGGCUUUGGAUUGUUCUACCCCUGGCCAUUGCAGCCAUUUGGGGAGAGAACCAGUGGAUGGAAGACCUUUCUCUCUGUCCCCCCGCUCUCUGUAACUCCUCAAAUAAAUAAAUAAAAUCUUUUUUUUUAACUUUUA